CUUGCGCCGCGGCGGGAGGGCCUCCCCGAGCGCCUUCUUUCCGCGGCGGAGAGACGACGCGACAGCCGCGGAACUCGGCGUGGCGGGGGCGCCUCCGGUAGCGCCAUGGGCAGUCGGUGCUACGGGUGUGCGGCCAAGUUCUCUGUCUUCAAGAAAGAGUGUGGAUGCAAGAACUGCGGGCGGUUGUUCUGCUCAGGCUGCCUUAGCUUCAGUGCUGUUGUUCCCCACUGUGGAAGCACGCAGCAGAAGGUGUGCAAGCAGUGUCAUGGAAAACUAACUGGAGAGGCAUCUCAAAGCAGUUCAGCAAAAUGGUCACCACCGGAAAACUACAAAAAGCGUGUAGCAGCUUUUGAGGCUAAGCAAAACCAGCUGAAAGAACAACAGAAGACGGCUGCAAAAUCACCAGGUCAAGCAGCCUACAAAUACAAGGGGCUCUCAAAAGAGGAUAGAGCUAUUGCAGAGAGACUGGAGAGGCUGAGAGAGGAAAGGAAACCAAAGUGCAUCCCUACUCAGGCUGAGAUUGAAGCUAGGCUGGCUGCCCUGAAGGAAGACUGCCGGGGACCUGUUCCAUCCACCCAGGAAAUGGAGGAGCGUUUGGCUGUCCUGCAGGGGAGAGAUCCACCUUCCCAGGCUCCCAGACCCGUACACCAUCCUCCUGAUACCAGAAGUCUGGUCCAGCAGACAGAUGACUUGUUAACUCAACUGUCUGAGGAAGUUGCCAUUGAUGAACAUUACAGACCAAGAAUCCAGCCUCGAGCUGUUAGUAGCCAAAGUCUGAAUGAUCUCAAUCGGGAAGGCGAAGACUUUGUUUGCCCUGAAAAUAUGGACCCAAAACAGGUAGAGGAAGAAAAGAAUAAACUUCUGGCAGAAGCUGCUGCAGAGCUGCGGGAAGAGAACACUAGGCAGGAAAAGAUCCUACAAGUUGCCAAGAGGCUGGCAGCACUCAGAGGCGAGGACCCAGAGAAAGUUACACUGGAAAGCUAUGAACUCCCUGACAGUGAUGAGGACGUGGCUGAGGAGGAAGUUAUUCACAGAGUGCUAAAACAGCUCACAGAGGAAGCAGCCCUGGACGAGGCUAGUGGAUUCAACAUUCCUCCAGAUCAGACCACCCAACUAAGACCCUCACAACAGAACCUGCGUAAGAAAGCAAAGCAAAAGAGCUGGACUCCAACCAGCACAGCUCUUGCCGAGGCAGAUGACAGUGACAAGGAUGAGUUACCCUGGUGCUGUAUCUGCAAUGAAGAUGCCACUUUGCGCUGCCAUGGCUGUGAUGGGGAUCUCUACUGCCAGCGCUGUUUUCGGGAAGGCCAUGAUGAGUUUGACCUGAAGGACCACCACACCUCUCGCUAUCAUCUUCCUUGCAAGUCAAAGUGAUCACACUCUUCAUGGACAGAAAAGGAGAUGGAAAAGAGAGAAGUUGGCCAGAUGGAAAGAGUACAAGAGCCCCUCUGGAUGUGACUCAGCAACUCAUCUCCAGAGUCUGAGUGGCCGGCCUGAGAGCACAGGGGCAGGACAUAUUGUGAGAUUCUGCUCUGCCUAAGCACUCUGCCUCCAUUUGCUGUCUUGUUUCCUACCACGUGUCAAGUUACUGACUUGCUGAGAAGAUGGAUGUAGUUUCCUCUGUAUUUUUCCAGCCACGUUAGUUGUAGCCAGAAGAGUUUGUGCAGCAAGACAAGACUUCACUUCUUAUUUGUGAGAUCUACCUAUCUGCAAAAGACUCACUUUGAGAUGCUCCCUGCAGGGAAAUUUGGAGCAGUGGAUGGAAAGAAAGAAGUCGUGAUGAACUCCUGAGAACUCUAUUCAGUGCUCCUUGGCCAGCACAGCAAUUCCUAGAAGAAACUAAAGGAAGGACAUCUUGUCCUGUUCCGCAGGUUAACAUGCCCUUUAAGAAUCAGGAAAAUGUACAAUAUAGCUCCCUGCUGUGUGCAUGAAUCUGGAAGGAGCGGAGACUUCAAACCACUGGUACAAAUCUCACAAGCUUGGUGAUGUUUCUCAAUAACAGUAAGUCCUAAACAUAUUCUGAAGUGGUGUUGCUGAUCCUGGGUUUUGUGGGGAAGAUAUCCAUUUCCUUGUGACCAAAGCUAGGUGUUCUGUGUGGGCAAGGUCAUUUCUUCUGAGGAUUGGUGACCCUUCGGAGACCUCUCAAUCGACUAAGCAAUUCCGUAAUGAAGUCCUGCAAUGAGAAUUGGUUGAAGAAGAAUGCCAUGUUAAUUCCAGUGCUCAUGGGCCCAAAGGGUUAUAUGAUGCUUGCAUUAUUCCCGCAUUCGCCUUCAUGUUGAGCAGAAACCGCAUUUUGACAUGUAUUGAUCAAACCUAUCUUUUAGCUUAGGAAAGUAGACAUUUUGACAUGUAUUGACCAAACCUAUCUUUUAGCUUAGGAAAGGAGACUUUUUGAUGGAUGAGAAGGGUCGAAAAGCCCCUUCACUUCCACUGUCUCCCUCUGGAGCAGCCAUGUUUACUUUCUCCCCAGGAGUCAGCCUGCCCCUCUUCAUCCCAGAUACCUGCUUUUUCCACCUUGAGAUGACUUCAGGAUGCUGUUGUUCUCUGUUAUGUUCCACUGCUUCCUGUUACCACCAUAACCUCCUGCCCACUUGUGCUGCCCUUCCAAUCUAGGGCAAAGCAAGCUGUCCCUCCUGUUGAACCUGUAAAGCUCCAUGUUGUGGAUUGCAAACCAUCCUGGAGCUGUGCCAAUUCUACAAGGAAGUGGCUGGCAGAGAAGAGGUGGAGCAAAAUGCACGUAGGACUAAUGAUAACCUGGAGCAGGGGUUAAGGAGAGGCAGAAUAGAUAGAUGAGCAGUUAAUGGAGAUAAACCCCCACUACGUUGCUGACACAGCCAAGGACUAUGAAACAAACUGGACCAUCUGGUUAGUCCAAGUAGAAGUCAGUGUAACUAAUGCAAACUUUACCCUCUGCGUGACAAAUAAUAUCACCAUAAAGGAGUGCACAGCCUUUUUUUUUUACCCAAAGAGAUAGCCAUGUCUCCUUGUAAUUAGAAAAGGCCACUGGAAGUAUUGCAGCUUGUUACCAUUUGGGCUGUGUGGAAGUCCAUCUUCCUCACUUGGGUGCUCAGAGGUUGCCUGCCUCAGCGUGCCCCAGAAGUAAAUGCCUGGGAUCAUAAAUACCUUUUCAGUCAGUCCCUUCAGAGGAAGACAUUUUGUUUCCUCUGUCUGCUUUCUGCAAAUAGGCUGCUGUGAUCUUUCUGCAGGACUGGAUUCAAGAUCACCAGGGUGAAAGAACGUAUCUUUGCCAAUGGGGCAGCAGUAUCUGUUCGUAGUUAUUAAUUGCCAUGCUGUCUGCAAGAGACUUUCAUGGCUUAUGAAUCAGUAGAGCAAACUCUUUUCAGUUCUUUCUCUGGGAAUGCAGAAGUCUUGCCUAAGAUCUGAAAUUUAGACGCUCUGAAAACAAUUUCCUAUUGCCAGCCUUGUGUGCCAAACCCCGUGCUAGGAGACUAUCUGUAAUGAUUGCUGCAGCUGAGUUUAAUUUCAAUGAGAGUCACGCAUCCAUCUUGUUUUCUAUAUGUUCGUCCCUGUACAGCUACAUUGACUCAACAAGAUGUGGAGACUGAUAAAUGAUGUCCAAGCACAACGUUCACAUGCAGUGCAUAUGACUGCAGCAGUGAUGAGGGACCCCAUUUUGCACAGGUGUGCAGUGCAGUGAAGGCAAUUGCUGUGUGGUGCAUGUGCUACACUGCAAAGCACUGGGCUUGUGAGAUGUCUUUAACUGUCUUACUCAAAACCAGUGCUUGUAAAGUUCACAUGGGGAAAAAAACCCACAAGUAAAAACUAAUUUAUGUGGCCACUGCUAAACAAUUUCUAUCUGCCCAGUCCAGUCUGAGGGCUGCCCUAUGUUCCUAUCACUCAUCACAUUAAAGCGGUUUAAGCUAAGAAUGCAUUUAGUUAGCAGAGUGCAAGAUGGUUGUGUGAUCUGUGUCACUGUCUGCAGCUUUUCUAUACUGAGGAGCAAAUAGUGACUCAGCCUGGUCAGUUUAGGAUGUCCAAAACAUGGAAUUAACUUUCUUUGGUUGUAAAGCGUAAUUCCUUAUUUUCUCCACUGCUCUGCCUUCAUAGCUUACCCAUGUAGAUUUACAUACAUUUUUCUAACACAGCAGAAUAAAGUGGCAAACAUCCCCCUCUGGGAAUUAAACAAAUCUGCAGCAUCACGUUAAGUGUAGUUGCAGCUGAGCAGCAACAAAGACAGACUCUUACAGCAUAGUAUAACGUAGAUGUAUUGAUGGUGCUUUACUCACCUCUGUCGGGCUAGAGCACUCAUGGAGGAUUUCCUAAAAAUCAAGGAAGAGUCAUUUGAGUAUUUUAUUAGCUGGCCUAUCUCCCCUUCCUACAAAAAGGGUAUGUAAUCUUACUGCAUAUGACAAGCUAAGACACAGAGAAGCAUCAUCCAACACUGUAUACACACAUUCUGUUCCCCCCACACUACUACUUCUCUUUAUGAAGGAAGUCCUUAACUUAACAUCAUCAAGUCCCUCUACCUGACCUGUAGUUUUAAUUUCUGUUCUUCAUUAGGGACUUCCAGAAGGUCUUCUAGAUCAAUUUGUGGUUCAGGAGCUGCUGCCUCUGUUUCCUCUCUCAGCUAAAAAGAAAAACAAAAAUACACAAUAAACCUUCAAACUUAUAAGAGCUCUAGAGGCCAUCUUUAAGGAAGGGAGAAGGAACUAGUUACAAUAAAACUAGUUACAAUAAAACUAUGCUGCCAAUUUAAGGUCAAGAUAUAAAUAAUCUCAGAGUGUUCUUAUAAAGAGGGCAUGGAUUCCAGCCUCUCUAUGGUGUCUGCUACUGCCACACAUCUUGAUGUAUGUGUUCUUCAUGUUUUCCCACCCCAACACUUGAUACCACUGCUCAGUGACUGUUGUCCAUCAUGGGAAGACCCUUUUAAAAAUUGCUGACUGCAAUGCAGUGUAAGCCAAUGUAGGACAACCCUCAUCUAAGAGGAGUGUGCUUAAGCAUUCACCAAACAGAAAUCCAGCAGGCCUAAGCUUAGAAAGGCACAACUAGUACAACGGGAUUUUAGGCUAAAUACUUUCAUAUAGUUGGUAUUUAGACUAAAGCUUUUUGCCAGAAUGGAGAGAAAAACAAUUGAAAGGCCUGACAAUAUUUUGCCGACCUUCUCUAACAGACAUGAGAGGGAUAUAAUAGCCUCCUUCAAGGUAAGAGAGACCCCGAACUUUGGGGAUUGGGGUAAUAAUCUUCUAAUGUAUAGGGUAUUGUUGGAAACAUUUGUAAUCUUGAUGACAUUUUAGCUCUACAUGUCUCUACAACACUAAGGAAGGCAAGCUGUGGUUUCCAAUGUAGUUGCAAAAUGUAUCUUUGACAGCACAACACUAGUGAUAUUUUAACAUAGUAGUCAACGGGAAAAGGAUACAAGGAUACUCAGUAAACAGCACAGUACCUGAUCAUUGUGUAGCAUUUAUGGAUGUGUAUGCAAAACAUUGAACAAUAAAUGCAAUACUUAGAGGGAAAAAAUAAACUUAUUCUGACCAGUCUCUGGUACCAAGCCAGAGAGGAAGUAGAAAACCUUUGUUCAGCUUUGUUACGCAGCUGACUUGACUGCAAGUAAUAAAAAAUGAUUAAACAUAUUCUGCUGUUACCUGCACACCAUUU